rnacentral:rRNA from 1 species
GAUGAACGCUGGCGGCGUGCCUAAUACAUGCAAGUCGAGCGAACGGACGAGAAGCUUGCUUCUCUGAUGUUAGCGGCGGACGGGUGAGUAACACGUGGAUAACCUACCUAUAAGACUGGGAUAACUUCGGGAAACCGGAUCUAAUACCGGAUAAUAUUUUGAACCGCAUGGUUCAAAAGUGAAAGACGGUCUUGCUGUCACUUAUAGAUGGAUCCGCGCUGCAUUAGCUAGUUGGUAAGGUAACGGCUUACCAAGGCAACGAUGCAUAGCCGACCUGAGAGGGUGAUCGGCCACACUGGAACUGAGACACGGUCCAGACUCCUACGGGAGGCAGCAGUAGGGAAUCUUCCGCAAUGGGCGAAAGCCUGACGGAGCAACGCCGCGUGAGUGAUGAAGGUCUUCGGAUCGUAAAACUCUGUUAUUAGGGAAGAACAUAUGUGUAAGUAACUGUGCACAUCUUGACGGUACCUAAUCAGAAAGCAACGGCUAACUACGUG